rnacentral:rRNA from 1 species
CAUGCGGGCGACAUGACGUUGAUCAGCGCACAGCCUGUCACCGGGCACUGCCGUAGCCGUAAAUCAGCAACGGAAAUCGCACUGAUGCAGACGGCCAAUAACAUUACGUUGCGUGUCCAG